AGUCGAACGGUAAAUAUUUUAGCAAUAGAAUAUGAGAGUGACGUACGGGUGCGUAACACGUAUGCAACCUACCCUUUACAGAUGGAUAGCUCGGGGAAACUCGAAUUAACCCGUCAUAAUAUAAUUUAGUGGCAUCAUUGGAUUAUUAAAACGCAAGUGGUAAAGGAUGGGCAUGCGUCUGAUUAGUUAGUUGGUGCGGGUAACGGCCCACCAAGACGAUGAUCAGUAGGGGAACUGAGAGGUUGAUCCCCCACACUGGCACUGAGAUACGGGCCAGACUCCUACGGGAGGCAGCAGUAGGGAAUAUUGGUCAAUGGAUGGAAGUCUGAACCAGCCAUGCCGCGUGCAGGAAGACGGCCUUCUGGGUUGUAAACUGCUUUUGCCAGGGGCUAAAAAGCUCAUGCGUGAGAAAUUGAAAGUACCUGGUGAAUAAGCCACGGCUAACUACGUGCCAGCAGCCGCGGUAAUACGUAGGUGGCAAGCGUUGUCCGGAUUUAUUGGGUUUAAAGGGUGCGUAGGCGGCUUUGUAAGUCAGUGGUGAAAUAUGGCAGCUCAACUGUCAGGGUGCCAUUGAUACUGCGGAGCUUGAGUACAGAUGAGGUAGGCGGAAUUGACGGUGUAGCGGUGAAAUGCCUAGAUAUCGUCAAGAACACCGAUAGCUAAGGCAGCUUACUAGGCUGUAACUGACGCUGAGGCACGAAAGUGUGGGGAUCAAACAGGAUUAGAUACCCUGGUAGUCCACACUGUAAACGUUGAUGACUCGCUGUUGGCGAUACACGGCCAGCGGCAGAGAGAAAUCGUUAAG
rnacentral:rRNA from 1 species